UCCCUCCUCUGCUUGUCCAAGAUGAAAGUUUCUUUCUUUCUUUUUUUUUUCACGCAGUAGAGCCAAACAAUUGUGCAAGAGGAGCCGCAGCAUGCAGGGCGCGUAUCACCAAGUGCAUGGUACAGAGACACCGGCUCCUGUGAUUAAUUAUCAGUUAUUACUGGCCUCGCAGUAACAUUUCAGCUUUCCCGUCAGAACCAGCAUACCAAGCUGCCUUAAACGUGGCCCCUGAUGGAGGAGCAGCACUGGGGAGGACGCCAAGGCACAGCUCCGCAGAAACACUUGAGUGUUAAAGAAUACCUGGACUGGUUUUCCCCUCAGACAAUGGAUCCUAGAAUAAGAGGUGACCCUGGCAGUCAAAGGACCAGCCAUUUCAACAUCUGGGAACUGAAGCCAGAACCUCAUAUAGACAUCGGGGGUGGGGGGCAAGGCUGUAGCCAAAAAUGAAGGCAAGACAUGUAGGAUCAUCCCUAAGAGCAUUCCUGAUGUUUUAUUAGCCAAAACUGCACUAGACACGGAGUGCUCACUCAUGUUCCCUGAGAAGAAAUCAACUUCACAGCAAAUUUCUGAUAAAAAGACAUUGGUACACCCAAAUUUGAACAGAAUUGAUACUCAAUAAAGGAGUUCUUAAAUCA